rnacentral:tRNA from 1 species
GGGAAUAGCUCAGUGGUAGAGCACAACCUUGCCAAGGCUGGGGUCGCGAGUUCGAAUCUCGUUUCCC